rnacentral:rRNA from 1 species
GACGUAGGGCGCGAGCGUUGUCCGGAUUUAUUGGGCGUAAAGAGCUCGUAGGCGGUUUGUCGCGUCUGCUGUGAAAAUCCAGGGCUUAACCCUGGACCUGCAGUGGGUACGGGCAGACUGGAGUGCGGUAGGGGAGAUCGGAAUUCCUGGUGUAGCGGUGAAAUGCGCAGAUAUCAGGAGGAACACCGGCGGCGAAGGCGGAUCUCUGGGCCGUAACUGACGCUGAGGAGCGAAAGCAUGGGGAGCGAACAGG